CCCCUCUUCCGCUGGCGACGUUCUGUCCCGGGCUUGCUCCGCGGGAGGAAAAUGCGCUUUGCGGCCGCUCACUUCCUUCCUGCGAGUCCUGCGGUCGGCUGCCUCAACCUGCGUUGCCUCUGUCCGCCCCCCAGCGGGCUCCGAGGGAUCUUGUUUCAGUUGGCAGUCUUAUGUUUGUGGGAUGGAUGCUAAAUUGAACUUCAAAAAGAUGAAGUGAUUGAGAAGAAACAAUAAACACCAUCAUUUUGUAGACAGGACACCAUGGAUCAGCCGUUAACGGUGAAUUCCCUGAAAAAGUUAGCUGCCGUGCCGGACCACAGGGAUGUUUCCCUCAGCCCGGAAGAGCGAGUCCGCGCCCUAAGCAAGCUGGGUUGUAAUAUCACCAUCAAUGAAGAUAUCACUCCGCGCCGCUACUUUAGAUCCGGAGUAGAAAUGGAGAGAAUGGCGUCCGUGUAUUUGGAAGAAGGAAAUUUGGAAAAUGCUUUUGUUCUUUAUAAUAAAUUUAUAACUUUGUUUGUAGAAAAGCUUCCUAACCAUCGAGAUUACCAGCAAUGUGCAGUACCCGAAAAGCAGGAUAUUAUGAAGAAACUGAAGGAGAUUGCAUUCCCAAGGACAGAUGAAUUGAAAAAGGACCUUUUAAAGAAAUAUAACGUAGAAUACCAAGAAUAUUUGCAAAGCGAAAACAAAUAUAAAGCUGAAAUUCUCAAAAAACUGGAGCAUCAGAGAUUGAUAGAGGCAGAAAGGAAGCGGAUCGCUCAGAUGCGCCAGCAGCAGCUAGAAUCGGAGCAGUUCUUGUUUUUCGAAGAUCAGCUCAAGAAGCAAGAAUUAGCCCGGAGUCAGAUGCGAAGCCAGGAAACUCCAGCGCAGUCAGAGCAGAUUGAUGGGAGUGCUUUGUCCUGCUUUUCCACACACCAGAACAAUUCCUUGCUGAAUGUAUUUGCAGAUCAGCCUAAUAAAAGUGAUGCAACCAAUUACGCUGGCCACUCGCCUCCCGUAAACAGGGCCUUAAAGCCAGCUGCAACUCUAAGUGCUGUUCAGAAUUUAGUGGUUGAAGGACUGAGAUACGUCGUUUUAUCAAGAGAUCUUUGCCACAGAUUUCUGCUCCUGGCAGAAUCUAAUACAGUGAGAGGAAUAGAAACCUGUGGAAUACUCUGUGGGAAACUGACGCAUAAUGAAUUUACUAUUACCCACUUAAUCGUGCCAAAACAGUCUGCAGGACCAGACUAUUGUGACGUGGAGAAUGUAGAAGAAUUAUUCGGUGUUCAGGAUCAACACAAUCUCCUCACUCUGGGAUGGAUCCAUACACAUCCAACCCAAACUGCGUUCUUAUCCAGUGUUGACCUCCACACUCACUGUUCUUAUCAGCUCAUGUUGCCAGAGGCCAUUGCCAUUGUCUGUUCACCGAAGCAUAAAGACACCGGCAUCUUCAGGCUCACCAGUGCUGGCAUGCUUGAGGUUUCCGCUUGUAAAAAGAAGGGCUUUCAUCCACACACCAAGGACCCCAGGCUGUUCAGUGUGCAAACCCAACUAACCAAACUUCCCAGGAGGACCUUGUCACAGAGCUGAAGGACUCCUGGAGGCUGCAAACCUAUGACUCGCCCUGCGUGGAAGAAUGAGUUCCUGAUGUUCUGUGUCUGAAAGAGGAACCAUCAGAGAUGUGGCCACGCCGCGGAGGGCUGGGCUGGCCGGGAGCAGAGCCCACAAUUCACGUGUUGAAGUCCCAGCCCCCAGUACCUCAGAAGGUGAAUGUAUUUGGAGAAAGAACCUUUAGGGAAGUAAUUGAAUUAAAAUUUGGCCACUAGAGGGGGCCCUAAUCCAAUGUGACUGGUGUCCUUACAAGAAGAAGAGAUCAGGACACAGACACAGAGGGAAGACCCUGUGAUGACACAGGGAGAAGAUGGCCGUCUACGGGGAGAGAGGCCUUAGAGGAAACCAAAUCUGCCAACACCUUGAUCUCUUACUUCCAGCCUCCAGAACUGUGAGAAAAUAAAUUUCUGUUGUUUAAGCCAACCAGUCUGUGGUAUUUUGUUAUGGCCACCCUAGCAAACUAAUAUAAUACUCAAAAAAUAUUUACUGAAUUUGUUUUCUUUUUUUCUCAGAGAUGGAAUGGAAAUGACUUUGUUUCAUGCAGAAAUCAUUCUCUUCUCCAUAGACCUUGGAGCAAAGCAGGAUGUCUGUGGAUUAUUCUCAGCUACUGAAGUUAUUCUUGGUUUCUUUUUAGUAGAAUUUUACUUGUGGAAAAAGUGGCAUUAUAUUUGAGAUACAGUAUCAGUUAAGGCCACAUCCUAGAAUUGGUUCAGUAUUUUUCCCCCCAAUUCAUUCCCUGCUGCACCCACUUCGGUCGUGCUGGAAACUGCCUUAUUAUAAUGGUUUGGACUUAUAUCGAAAUUUCUGUUGCAAAACCAGCUACAGUUGUCCCAAAUGUGGAAAGCAGAAGUUUCUCUUCCAGCAUGUCUUGCAGAAUUUUCUAGCAGGCGAAUGUCUUCUGUGAAAAGGAUGCUUGAGAAAUGUCAUGUAUUUGGCAGAGAUAAAGGAAGAAAGGUAAACUUUCAGCUCCUUAUUCUUAGAAGACAUUAGCUUGUUAUUUAUUGUGAAGACACCAAAAUGCAAAGAACUCUUCUGUUUUUUAAAGAAACUUGUUUCCUUUUCUAGCAUCUUGGCUUUUCACGAGGCAAGAAUAUAUUUUUCUUGGGGGCAGCUGACAAAAAUAUUAGUUUAGUUAGUCUGGGGAGAUGCAGAGGAUGAGGGAGAGAAAACAGGAAAAUGGAGAAGGACCCUGGGGGAGAGAGGGUAGAAUUAGAAUACUGUAGACCGCAGACCAGCUUUACUUAAUUUGUUUGAAGUCAAUGUCUUGGGCAUUAUCUAGACCAAAAGACAUUCUAAAACCAAAUGGAGGCAAAUAGUUUAGUUUAGUUUUGUCUUGUUUUACCUCUGUCAAGGAGGAUUAACUAUUCAUCUGCAUCGAGUUAACCAGCAUUGACUGUGAAAAACUGAAAUUGUGUACUCAAAUUAGUCACGAUCUGGGUGCAUCCCAGAUGUGUCAAUGUAAUGAGUGGUGAAUCUGUAUUCUUGAAUCCCAAGAGGAUGUUUAAAAUUCCUCUCUUCAAUUUUUCAAGAAAAAGCAUUUAUAGGUUGUUCAAAAAAUAAGCUCCAUUUUGUGUCCUCCUAAUAUAAAGGCUGAUGAACAAGAAAAACAAACAACCAGAAGGAAUUUACUCUAUUCUUGACUUUGGGCGAGGUUUCAUUACCUACAGAAAUGAGGUGUGUGAAUUAACCGAUGUAGCAGGUUUUCUUCAGCAAUAAAGCUUUGUACUUACUGACAUUUUUUCCAGGGCAAUACAUAAUCUUAAUUUUUUUAUUAAAAAGUAAUUUAUUGGGGUGAAAUUCACAUAACAUAAAAUUAACCAUUUUAAAGUGAACAAUUAAGUGACAUUUAGGACAUUCACAGUGUUGUAUAACCAUCACCUCUAUCUUUUUUUUGUUGU